rnacentral:rRNA from 1 species
UCAGAUUGAACGCUGGCGGCAUGCCUUACACAUGCAAGUCGAACGGCAGGCGGGCCUUCGGGUGCCGGCGAGUGGCGAACGGGUGAGUAAUGCAUCGGAACGUGCCAUUGAGUGGGGGAUAACGUAGCGAAAGUUACGCUAAUACCGCAUAUUCUGUGAGCAGGAAAGCAGGGGACCGCAAGGCCUUGCGCUCUUUGAGCGGCCGAUGUCAGAUUAGCUAGUUGGUGAGGUAAAGGCUUACCAAGGCGACGAUCUGUAGCGGGUCUGAGAGGAUGAUCCGCCACACUGGAACUGAGACACGGUCCAGACUCCUACGGGAGGCAGCAGUGGGGAAUUUUGGACAAUGGGCGCAAGCCUGAUCCAGCCAUGCCGCGUGAGUGAAGAAGGCCUUCGGGUUGUAAAGCUCUUUCGGCCGGGAAGAAAUCGCAUGGGUUAAUACCCUGUGUGGAUGACGGUACCGGAAUAAGAAGCACCGGCUAACUACGUG